AGUAGAUAUUUAAAAUUCCCCUCUGGCCCCAGUACUGCUUUCCUCCAAUUUUUUGAUUAUUUGCCUCCACAGAUGUAGAGAGCAAUACUUACUUUAAGAGCUUAUAUUUAUGUAAAUAAAGAAUAAAGGAACAGGAGCUGGAGUAAAAUACAUGAACUCUGAGUUGGAGGAUGGAAGCCAAACAUUGAGUUCCUCAGGAGGCUCCACCUUGAGGCUGCAGCUCUGGCCCUUUAAGGCAUCUUCUAUGUUCUGUCCGCAGAGGUCAGAGUGUAAAUGUGUGGGUGACAAAGUUGUGAGGACAGCACUGGAGCUCAGAGCACGCAGUGUGGAAGCUAAGGGAACUGCAGAGGAGAAUGAGCUGGCCAAGUCAACGUGUGCUUCAGGAAUAGACCCAUGUAUUCACUCAAGAGAAAGGUCUGGCUGAUCGUUUGUGAUCCCAGCAUAGAAGAAAAUGUUGUGCGCCAGAAAAUUAAUUAACUAUAGUGCAGCAUUUAAUUCCUUGAUCAAGUCAAAAACAAGAAGAUAAAGAGAAAUAGAACUGAGCUUAACAUAAAAUGAAAGAAAUAACAAGAGAAACUAGCCAGGAAAACUGGGUGAUGUUCCACUAGUUUUAUAAGGCCUUGGUGAACUAAAUGAUACAGCAUUGAAUUCCAUUUCAAUAAAUACAUCAUGUCCAGAAUUAAGUGGGUUACCCUGAAUGUCUCUGCUGCUUUUUCAACUUUCUAAACCAAGACUGGUUAUGGAAAACACUAAGGAGAUGAAGUCCACUUCACUAGACUUUCUACAGGUGCCUUAUGAACAAAAGGUGUAUGCCAUCACCUUACUGGAGGAGGCUUUACUCCAGCUGAUGGCAUCCUCCCCCCAUCACUGAAAACAUUGAAGCAAUCAGAAGACAACCUCCAGAGGACCUCCCUUCCACAUUUGACAGUGUAUUUGUUCAUACCUCUGCCUUCCUGCCUGCUGUCAUUUCCAUCUACCCCCUGUAACGCUAGCAUCCCAUAUGGGUACUGGUUUGAGUCCCAGUUGCUCCACUUCUAUUCAAGCUUCCUGGAAAAGCUUGGGCCCCUGAACCUACAUGGGAUACCUGGAAGAAGCUCCUGACUCUGGUUUUGCAGCCAUUUGAAAAGUGAACCAGUAGAUGGAAGACCUCUCUCUCUCUCUCUCUCUCUCUCUCUCUCUCUCUUUCUCUCUCCCCCUCUCUCUCUGUAACUCUGCCUUUCUAAUAAAUAAAUGAAUCUUAAAAAAAACUUAAGUAGUAUCUGAAAGUUCCUUUGUGUUCUCCUGCAAGAUGAGGAAUAGAGAAGAGGGUUUGGAUUAGAUCAGGGUCAGUGACUUACCGUGACUUAAAAUAAAUUAUAUGCUCACCACAUGUGCUGCUCACUUGUGAAUUAUGAGGAGUGAUGAAGUUCUAGCAGGUUGAAUUUAAAAUCUCAAUUUGAUAUUUAAAUCACAGUGACUUGGUGACAUUUCUUUGCAUAGGUCUUGGGACCAACAGUGGGAGUCCUCAAUGUAUAACCUGGAGCAUAGAGGAGCAUACUGAAACAGAAAACAACACUUAAAAAUUAGAAGGGAUCAGCACUGUGGCAUCA